rnacentral:lncRNA from 1 species
AGGUUGUUGAGACUUGUGUGACUCAACUUCUCAGUUUGUAACGGUUUGUUGAGCACCCGUAAUCUUAACAGUGUUAGUGGAAAUCUCGAGAGAGUCUCUCGGGGACUGGACUAGCCACGGGUUGUGGUGAACCAGGAUACAUCGGUGCGUUCGUUCUUUAUUAUUUACUUAUCGCACUUAUUUCAUUCCUACAAUUUUUAAAUUCCGCAAGUUUAUGCUAUUUUUUAUUAUAACGC